rnacentral:rRNA from 1 species
UACAGAGGUCCCAAGCGUUGUUCGGAUUCAUUGGGCGUAAAGGGUGCGUAGGCGGCGCGGUAAGUCGGGUGUGAAAUCUCGGAGCUUAACUCCGAAACUGCAUUCGAUACUGCCGUGCUUGAGGACUGGAGAGGAGACUGGAAUUUACGGUGUAGCGGUGAAAUGCGUAGAUAUCAGGAGGAACACCGGUGGCGAAGGCGGGUCUCUGGGCCGUAACUGACGCUGAGGAGCGAAAGCGUGGGGAGCAAACAGG